AUUGAACGCUAGCGGGAUGCCUUACACAUGCAAGUCGAACGGAGUGGCGAACGGGCGAGUAAUGUAUCGGUGGGUGCCCGGUAGCUAGGGAUAACUACGCAAAAGCGACGCUAACACCUCACAUUAUUGGACCGGUGGAUAGGGGAUUAGCUAGUUGGUGGGGUAAGGGCUCACCAAGGCGACGAUCCGUAGCUGGUUUGAGUGGACGACCAGCCACACGGGGACUGAGACACGGCCCAGACUCCUACGGGAGGAAGCAGUGGGGAAUAUGGGACAAUGGGCGAAACCCUGAUACAGCCAUCCCGCGUGUGCGAAGAAGGCCUUCGGGUUGUAAAGCACUUUUAGCAGGAAAGCGGUACCUGCAGAAUAAGCACCGGCUAACUCCGUGCCAGCAGCCGCGGUAAUUC
rnacentral:rRNA from 1 species